rnacentral:rRNA from 1 species
GCAGUCGAACGCCCGUAGCAAUACGGGAGUGGCAGACGGGUGAGUAACGCGUGGGAACGUACCUUUCGGUUCGGAAUAACCCGGGGAAACUCGGGCUAAUACCGGAUACGUCCGCAAGGAGAAAGAUUUAUCGCCGAAAGAUCGGCCGCGUCGGAUUAGCUAGUUGGUGAGGUAACGGCCACCAGCGACGAUCCGUAGCUGGUCUGAGAGGAUGAUCAGCACACUGGGACUGAGACACGGCCCAGACUCCUACGGGAGGCAGCAGUAAGGAAUAUUGGACAAUGGGCGCAAGCCUGAUCCAGCCAUGCCGCGUGAAGGAUUAAGGCCCUAUGGGUUGUAAACUUCUUUUAUACGGGACAAAACCCCUCUACGUGUAGAGGGUUGAUGGUACUGUAAGAAUAAGCAUCGGCUAACUUCGUGCCAGCAGCCGCGGUAAUACGAAGGAUGCAAGCGUUAUCCGGAAUUAUUGGGUUUAAAGGGUGCGUAGGCGGACCUAUAAGUCAGUGGUGAAAGCCCCAAGCUCAACUUGGGAACUGCCAUUGAUACUGUUGGUCUUGAGUACAGUUGAGGUAGGCGGAAUGUGUCAUGUAGCGGUGAAAUGCUUUAGAUAUGACACAGAA